UACGAAGGGUGCAAGCGUUAAUCGGAAUUACUGGGCGUAAAGCGUGCGCAGGCGGUUUGUUAAGACAGAUGUGAAAUCCCCGGGCUUAACCUGGGAACUGCAUUUGUGACUGGCAAGCUAGAGUAUGGCAGAGGGGGGUAGAAUUCCACGUGUAGCAGUGAAAUGCGUAGAGAUGUGGAGGAAUACCGAUGGCGAAGGCAGCCCCCUGGGCCAAUACUGACACUCAUGCACGAAAGCGUGGGGAGCAAACAGG
rnacentral:rRNA from 1 species